ACGAACGCUGGCGGCGUGCCUAAUCCAUGCAAGUCGAACGCUUCUUUCCUCCCGAGUGCUUGCACUCAAUUGGAAAGAGGAGUGGCGGACGGGUGAGUAACACGUGGGCAACCUACCCAUCAGAGGGGGAUAACACUUGGAAACAGGUGCUAAUACCGCAUAACAGUUUAUGCCGCAUGGCAUAAGAGUGAAAGGCGCUUUCGGGUGUCGUUGAUGGAUGGACCCGCGGUGCAUUAGCUAGUUGGUGAGGUAACGGCUCACCAAGGCCACGAUGCAUAGCCGACCUGAGAGGGUGAUCGGCCACACUGGGACUGAGACACGGCCCAGACUCCUACGGGAGGCAGCAGUAGGGAAUCUUCGGCAAUGGACGAAAGUCUGACCGAGCAACGCCGCGUGAGUGAAGAAGGUUUUCGGAUCGUAAAACUCUGUUGUUAGAGAAGAACAAGGACGUUAGUAACUGAACGUCCCCUGACGGUAUCUAACCAGAAAGCCACGGCUAACUACGUG
rnacentral:rRNA from 1 species